rnacentral:rRNA from 1 species
AGGGUUUGAUUAUGGCUCAGGAUGAACGCUAGCGACAGGCUUAACACAUGCAAGUCGAGGGGCAGCGGGGAGUAGCAAUACUUCGCCGGCGACCGGCGCACGGGUGAGUAACACGUGUGCAACCAACCCCGUACCGGGAGAUAACCCGCGGAAACGUGGACUAACAUCCCAUGAUACUCGAGAGCCGCAUGGCUCUCGAUUUAAAAUUCCGGUGGUACGGGACGGGCACGCGCGACAUUAGGUAGUUGGCGGGGUAAUGGCCCACCAAGCCGACGAUGUCUAGGGGUUCUGAGAGGAAGGUCCCCCACACUGGAACUGAGACACGGUCCAG